rnacentral:rRNA from 1 species
UACGUAGGGGGCUAGCGUUGUCCGGAAUCAUUGGGCGUAAAGAGCGUGUAGGCGGUCCGGUAAGUCCGCUGUGAAAGUCGGGGGCUCAACCCUCGAAUGCCGGUGGAUACUGUCGGGCUAGAGUGCGGAAGAGGCGAGUGGAAUUCCUGGUGUAGCGGUGAAAUGCGCAGAUAUCGGGAGGAACACCAGUGGCGAAGGCGGAACUCUGGGCCGGAACUGACGCUGAGGAGCGAAAGCGUGGGGAGCGAACAGG